AUUGAACGCUGGCGGCAGGCCUAACACAUGCAAGUCGAGCGGAUGAAGGGAGCUUGCUCCUGGAUUCAGCGGCGGACGGGUGAGUAAUGCCUAGGAAUCUGCCUGGUAGUGGGGGAUAACGUCCGGAAACGGGCGCUAAUACCGCAUACGUCCUGAGGGAGAAAGUGGGGGAUCUUCGGACCUCACGCUAUCAGAUGAGCCUAGGUCGGAUUAGCUAGUUGGUGGGGUAAAGGCCUACCAAGGCGACGAUCCGUAACUGGUCUGAGAGGAUGAUCAGUCACACUGGAACUGAGACACGGUCCAGACUCCUACGGGAGGCAGCAUUGGGGAAUAUUGGACAAUGGGCGAAAGCCUGAUCCAGCCAUGCCGCGUGUGUGAAGAAGGUCUUCGGAUUGUAAAGCACUUUAAGUUGGGAGGAAGGGCAGUAAGUUAAUACCUUGCUGUUUUGACGUUACCAACAGAAUAAGCACCGGCUAACUUCGUG
rnacentral:rRNA from 1 species